GCCUGACUGCGGGGGGCACACGUGGACGCUGAGCUGUCUAGGUUGCUGGUGCGCGGGCUGGGGAAAUCGGGGAUCGGGUGCAUCCCCGUGCAGUGGUACCGACGAGUCCCAGUUCCUUUUUGUUCACACGUCCUCAGUGGACAGCCCGGGCGAGGCUGGUGGGAUCCAUUUCAUGGAGAAGCAGUGCAGUACGAGCUUCAGAAGCUGAGCGCACUCCUAGGCCCGUUCCAGGCUGAAUGGCCCGUUUUUUCCAACUCCAAAACCUCUGUGGGCCACCAGAGACCUGGACACUCGGUGCUGAGAAUCUGUCGAGGAGGCAGACCCCCCUGAUGGAGGGCAGAGGGUGUUGUGGCCAGUGUUGGAGAGGACAGAGCCCGAGAGAGGCUGGACUAUCAUCCAAGUGGAGCGCAGGAGUUUGGUCACUACCAAGAUGGCACCUGCCUUGGUCACCAAGGGGCUGAGGCAGGUAUAGAGCUCAAAUUUGGAAGUCACCUGGGGAUGUGAGAGGAAAGAGAGUCAGUUGGGCUGGAGCUGGCCCUGCUCAAUCCUGCCCACCCCUACCCAGCCCCAUCCUGUCUCCUGUGUGAAGAUGUACCUGGCUGCAGCUGCCACCUGGUGCUGGUACCUGAGUUAAAGCAGGUAAGCUGACAUUACUGUGUCCCAGGUGGGCCAGAGGCUCUUAGCUGGAUCAAGAGAUCACCUGGAUCAUUUAAUGGCUUCAACUGGGAGACCUUGGCUGUUGGGGGGUGUGUGUGUGCUGGCUGGGCCUCAGUUUGCUCAUCACUAACUGAACAUCAAGUAACGUUGUGUUCUAACCUCCACACACCUGUUUUCCUCACCUGUGGCCUGAGCAGAAGAUGAAGAUUAAUUUCAUUUAGUCCUCAGAGCAACCCGAGACCAAACUUCACCAGUUGACCAGCACAUUCCACACUGCCCCACGCUGCUGUCCCCUCGCUCCCUCUGCUCCAGCCACUCUAGCCUCUCAUUGCUCUUCCUUAAAGGUAAGCAGGCUCCGUCCUGCUUCCCAGCAUCUGCAUGGUCCUCCACCUCUGCUAGGCAUGCUCUUCCUCCAGAUACCCACACGGCUGCCUCCUCUCCCCAUGUGGACACCAUCGCCUCAGAGCAGCAUCCCCCAAACUGGGCCUGCCAUUUCUUGGCUUUGAACUGCCAUUCUCUACUAAAAGGUUGAAGGCUCCUUGGGAAAAUGGCUAAUUUCAAGAUGAGCAGAGUAGAAGAGAAGCCUGGAAUGGGGGAUACUCAAGCAGGAAUGGGGAAUGUCAACAAAAGAUGUGACAUGAAAGCAUUUUUAGCUCACUGGAGAAAAGGAAAAUCCAUGGGACCAUACUGCUAUAAAAGUCAACAAGUAGAAAGUUCUUCCACACAGAGGAAUUACAAUCAGUAAGAGUAGAAGAAAUGAUGGAGUUAGAAAAAUCACUGUUUGAUAAACAUCAUAGUAGUAGCUGUUGGAGGCAAGAAACUUUAAUGGAUAUGAAAAUUAAUGAGUGAAGAGAUGAUGAAAACACUGAUCAUCACCAAGAGACACAGUUAGAAAGAGGGAAAAUGUAGAUACUAACGUUGCAGUGAAGAAAUCUGGCAAACAUGCUCUUGAGCACUGAAGUCAUCAACAAAGGCACACACUGACACUGUGGGCCUCUUUAUGAGGCAGAGGGUGCAACAGCUCUUCCAUGGUAUUCUUGCCAACACUGUAUGACCUCAAUUUAGUCAUAAAAUAUUAGAAAAACCCAAGUGGAGGGACAUUCUACAAACCAGCUGGCUGGUACCAUGGUCUUGAAAAGUACCAUGGUCAUUUAAGACAAAAAAGGACUGAAGAAUGUUCUUGAAUAAAGCAAGACAACCAAUGGAUCCAAUAUGUGAUCCUGGACUUGGUUCUGGAUUAGUCAAAGGGCAUUGAUGGGACAAUGAUGAAAUAGGAAUAAAGUCUGUGGUUUAGAUGUUAUUGUACUGACAGUUUUGUACUGAGAUGUUUUUUAAGUUCCUGUGCUUAUGUAAGUAUCUGGAGAAACCAGGUGAAGGACAUACUUAGAGUGAUUGUUUGUACUGUUUUCCAACUUCUUUGUAAAUCUAAAGUUGCUUGAAAAUGGAAGUUAAACAAAAUUUUAAAGUCAAAUCAAAUCCCUGGCCUUGGACAAUGCCUGAUGUAUUAUAGGCAGGCAAUACAGGGUUUAAUAAAUGUGCACUAAAAGGCAUCUCCUGGGGGAAGGUGC